rnacentral:rRNA from 1 species
AAUGGGGGCAACCCUGAUCCAACCAUGCCGCGUGAGUGAAGAAGGCCCUAGGGUUGUAAAGCUCUUUCGCCAGGGAAGAUAAUGACGGUACCUGGUAAAGAAGUCCCGGCUAACUCCGUGCCAGCAGCCGCGGUAAUACGGAGGGGACUAGCGUUGUUCGGAAUUACUGGGCGUAAAGAGUACGUAGGCGGCUCUGCAAGUUGGGUGUGAAAGCCCGGGGCUCAACCCCGGAACUGCAUUCAAAACUGUGGGGCUAGAGAUCGGAAGAGGUAAGUGGAAUUCCCAGUGUAGAGGUGAAAUUCGUAGAUAUUGGGAAGAACACCGGUGGCGAAGGCGACUUACUGGUCCGAUACUGACGCUGAGGUACGAAAGCGUGGGGAGCAAACAGGAUU